rnacentral:rRNA from 1 species
UACAGAGGGUGCGAGCGUUGUCCGGAAUCACUGGGCGUAAAGGGCGCGUAGGCGGCUUGAUAAGCGUGCGGUGAAAGCCCGGGGCUCAACCCCGGGUCGGCCGUGCGAACUGUCGAGCUGGAGCACUGUAGAGGCAGGUGGAAUUCCGGGUGUAGCGGUGGAAUGCGCAGAUAUCAGGAGGAACACCGGUGGCGAAGGCGGGACUCUGGGCCGAUACUGACGCUGAGGAGCGAAAGCGUGGGGAGCAAACAGG